GGCCGCUUGGCCCAAUGGUAAGGCGUCCGACUACGAGGUAUAUAUAUUCUGCUCUGCUUCUCUUAGCAGCGCUGAUGCAUACUGAGCUAUCGGGAGAUUCUGGGUUCGAGCCCCAGGGUGGUCA